UCCAAUUUUUUAUUAGCAGUUUCUUUUGUAAAUAUAACAAAAAAUAAGGGUUUCGCUCGUUACCGAAAUUAACCUGACAUCUCACGACACGAGCUGACGACAGCCAUGCAACACCUGAUUAAGAUUCAAAAAAUAAACUCAAUUGUAAAUUUUCCACAGAAUAUUUCUAUUCAGACAUCUUAACUUUCGAGAAUUGGUAAGAUUUGACGCGUUAUAUCGGAUUAAACCACAUGCUCCACCGCUUGUGCGGAUUUCCGUCAAUUCCUUUGAGUUUUAAUCUUGCGAUCGUAGUUCCCAGGCGGAAUGCUUAACGCGUUAGCUAGGAAACUAAAUAAUUAAAAUUAUCCAACAUCCAGCAUUCAUAGUUGACAGCAUAGACUAC
rnacentral:misc_RNA from 1 species